rnacentral:lncRNA from 1 species
UUGCUUCUUUGACUUUCAAUAUAUAAGAGAAGUACCAUAGUGAACUAGAUAGCCAAUAAUGGACCUUUAUUGUUAAUACAAGCUCUCCAAUCUAGAACCUCCUAAAUAUCUUCUCACCUUUGUUGUAUCUGUAUUUCUUGGUGCCAUAUGAGUCUUUACAUGAGGGUAUACCUCUGCAGUAACUUGCAUUUCUGAUAACACUUCAGAAGAUG